rnacentral:rRNA from 1 species
AAGUGGUAGGAGAGCGUUCUAUUUGCGUCGAAGGUAUACCGGUAAGGAGUGCUGGAGCGAAUAGAAGUGAGCAUGCAGGCAUGAGUAGCGAUAAUUAAUGUGAGAAUCAUUAACGCCGUAAACCCAAGGUUUCCUACGCGAUGCUCGUCAUCGUAGGGUUAGUCGGGUCCUAAGUCGAGUCCGAAAGGGGUAGACGAUGGCAAAUUGGUUAAUAUUCCAAUACCAACAUUAGUGUGCGAUGGAAGGACGCUUAGGGCUAAGGGGGCUAGCGGAUGGAAGUGCUAGUCUAAGGUCGUAGGAGGUUAUACAGGCAAAUCCGUAUAACAAUACUCCGAGAACUGAAAGGCUUUUUGAAGUCUUCGGAUGGAUAGAAGAACCCCUGAUGCCGUCGAGCCAAGAAAAGUUUCUAAGUUUAGCUAAUGUUGCCCGUACCGUAAACCGACACAGGUGGGUGGGAUGAGUAUUCUAAGGCGCGUGGAAGAACUCUCUUUAAGGAACUCUGCAAAAUAGCACCGUAUCUUCGGUAUAAGGUGUGGUUAGCUUUGUAUUAGGAUUUACUCCGAAAGCAAGGAAACUUACAACAAAGAGUCCCUCCCGACUGUUUACCAAAAACACAGCACUCUGCUAACUCGUAAGAGGAUGUAUAGGGUGUGACGCCUGCCCGGUGCUCGAAGGUUAAUUGAUGGGGUUAGCAUUAGCGAAGCUCUUGAUCGAAGCCCGAGUAAACGGCGGCCGUAACUAUAACGGUCCUAAGGUAGCGAAAUUCCUUGUCGGUUAAAUACCGACCUGCAUGAAUGGCGUAACGAGAUGGGAGCUGUCUCAAAGAGGGAUCCAGUGAAAUUGUAGUGGAGGUGAAAAUUCCUCCUACCCGCGGCAAGACGGAAAGACCCCGUGGACCUUUACUACAGCUUGACACUGCUACUUGGAUAAGAAUGUGCAGGAUAGGUGGGAGGCUUUGAGUAUAUGACGCCAGUUGUAUAUGAGCCAUUGUUGAGAUACCACUCUUUCUUAUUUGGGUAGCUAACCAGCUUGAGUUAUCCUCAAGUGGGACAAUGUCUGGUGGGUAGUUUGACUGGGGCGGUCGCCUCCCAAAUAAUAACGGAGGCUUACAAAGGUUGGCUCAGAACGGUUGGAAAUCGUUCGUAGAGUAUAAAGGUAUAAGCCAGCUUAACUGCAAGACAUACAAGUCAAGCAGAGACGAAAGUCGGUCUUAGUGAUCCGGUGGUUCUGUGUGGAAGGGCCAUCGCUCAAAGGAUAAAAGGUACCCCGGGGAUAACAGGCUGAUCUCCCCCAAGAGCUCACAUCGACGGGGAGGUUUGGCACCUCGAUGUCGGCUCAUCGCAUCCUGGGGCUGGAGCAGGUCCCAAGGGUAUGGCUGUUCGCCAUUUAAAGCGGUACGCGAGCUGGGUUCAGAACGUCGUGAGACAGUUCGGUCCCUAUCUGCCGUGGGCGUAAGAAGAUUGAAGAGAUUUGACCCUAGUACGAGAGGACCGGGUUGAACAAACCACUGGUGUAGCUGUUGUUCUGCCAAGAGCAUCGCAGCGUAGCUAAGUUUGGAAAGGAUAAACGCUGAAAGCAUCUAAGCGUGAAGCCAACUCUAAGAUGAAUCUUCUCUAAGCUCUCUAGAAGACUACUAGUUUGAUAGGCUGGGUGUGUAAUGGAUGAAAGUCCUUUAGCUGACCAGUACUAAUAGAGCGUUUGGCUUAUCUUU